rnacentral:misc_RNA from 1 species
AACGCACAUUGCGCCCCUUGGUAUUCCAUGGGGCAUGCCUGUUCGAGCGUCAUUUGUACCCUCAAGCUCUGCUUGGUGUUGGGUGUUUGUCCACUCCCCGGUGUCUGGACUCGCCUUAAAGCAAUUGGCAGCCAGUGUUUUGGUAUUGAAGCGCAGCACAUUUUGCGUCUCCAGCCUAGAACGCUUGCGUCCAGUAAGCCUUUUUCCACUUUUGACCUCGGAUCAGGUAGGGAUACCCGCUGAACUUAA